rfam:Meloidogyne hapla strain VW9 Mh10g200708_Contig194, whole genome shotgun sequence.
UUAAAGGUUUUUUUAAAAACCAAAAAAUUAUUUGAGAAUUCUAUG